ACAAGGUACCUAGUGGCAUUGGCAUGAGAGCAUUUGUGUUUACGUGUUCGGGAAGGCGUGUACAGUGAGUUAUCUUGACAAGGGAGUACACCAAAAUAUACACCCUGUCUUGACACAACACCGGAAGUCAUCGGGAUCACGAUGUCGUCAGCUAAUCUACUCCCAGCAAGGUCGAGAUGAAUGGCAAGUCUCGUUAUCUCCCAUGCGACCAGACGAGACUGGAGUGUUUGCGUAGCGGGAUGGCGUGAUAAAGUCGUUAUCUGCCAGUUAUAAGUAUUGUAUAUGAGGGAUAUGGAAAAACGGACCUAGAUGGAGGUUGGAACGAAGAUCGAACUGUCUUAUUUUCGUCACUGCAUUUGUAACAGAACUAGUUUUGUUACCCAUUUUAUAAUUAAAAUUCCA